rnacentral:rRNA from 1 species
CCUACGGGAGGCAGCAGUGAGGAAUAUUGGUCAAUGGGCGGAAGCCUGAACCAGCCAAGUAGCGUGCGGGAUGAAGGCCCUACGGGUCGUAAACCGCUUUUGCACGGGGAUAACACCAUCCACUUGUGGAGGUCUGCAGGUACCGUGCGAAUAAGGGCCGGCUAAUUCCGUGCCAGCAGCCGCGGUAAUACGGAAGGCCCGAGCGUUAUCCGGAUUCAUUGGGCUUAAAGGGAGCGUAGGCGGGCGUUCAAGUCAGCUGUAAAAGCGCGCGGCUCAACCGCGCCCCGCAGUUGAAACUGGACGCCUUGAGUUCACAACAGGCAGGCGGAAGUCGGGGUGUAGCGGUGAAAUGCAUAGAUACCACGAGGAACCCCGAUUGCGAAGGCAGCCUGCCGGGGUGCGACUGACGCUGAGGCUCGAAGGUGCGGGUAUCAAACAGGAUUAGAUACCCCAGUAGU